rnacentral:rRNA from 1 species
UACGAAGGGGGGCUAGCGUUGCUCGGAAUCACUGGGCGUAAAGCGCACGUAGGCGGCUUCUUAAGUCAGGGGUGAAAUCCUGGAGCUCAACUCCAGAACUGCCUUUGAUACUGAGGAGCUUGAGUCCGGGAGAGGUGAGUGGAACUGCGAGUGUAGAGGUGAAAUUCGUAGAUAUUCGCAAGAACACCAGUGGCGAAGGCGGCUCACUGGCCUGGUACUGACGCUGAGGUGCGAAAGCGUGGGGAGCAAACAGG